AUUGAACGCUGGCGGCAUGCCUUACACAUGCAAGUCGAACGGCAGCAUGAUCUAGCUUGCUCGAUUGAUGGCGAGUGGCGAACGGGUGAGUAAUACAUCGGAACGUGCCCUGUAGUGGGGGAUAACUAGUCGAAAGAUUAGCUAAUACCGCAUACGACCUGAGGGUGAAAGUGGGGGACCGCAAGGCCUCAUGCUAUAGGAGCGGCCGAUGUCUGAUUAGCUAGUUGGUGAGGUAAAGGCUCACCAAGGCGACGAUCAGUAGCUGGUCUGAGAGGACGAUCAGCCACACUGGGACUGAGACACGGCCCAGACUCCUACGGGAGGCAGCAGUGGGGAAUUUUGGACAAUGGGCGAAAGCCUGAUCCAGCAAUGCCGCGUGUGUGAAGAAGGCCUUCGGGUUGUAAAGCACUUUUGUCCGGAAAGAAAUGGCUCUGGUUAAUACCUGGGGUCGAUGACGGUACCGGAAGAAUAAGGACCGGCCAACUACGUG
rnacentral:rRNA from 1 species